AAUAUAGAAAAGCGAAUGGUCAACCAUCUGAGGGCAGUUUUGACUUUUCAUAACUUAUAAUAGACGUGUCCUUUUAUUGGCUGGCAGCCUGGCACCUCAUCGAACUCUCAAAUUCUUUAUCGUUCUUCUUCAUCUAGAAUUCUCUAGCGUCUCUGUUGGGUCUCACAAUGUUCAGGUAAAAAGGAUUGAAGUGAAAUAAUUCCAGGUACGAUAAGUAGUUGACUCCCUCAAAGAACUCUCAUGUGCUAUAAAAUUGCAGACUAUGAUUUCAUCUUCCCAACUGUGAACUUUAAUUUGAUUAAACUAAAAAUUACCUUAAUUACUAAGAUAAGUUUUAAUACUGGAGCAUUGGACAUGGUAUAUUUCCCUCGGUAUUAAUUACAGGAAAUAUGAAACUAGGCUCUCUAAAUUAAAGAAACCAUAUCUUAUUUUUGGAACUGCAAUCUGUUAAUAAUUUUCUUUCAGUACUUUAGAUGUCAAGAACGUUAUCUAGCCUCUUUCUCCUAAAGUUAUGAAAUUUCCUAAUGUUAAUUUUCCAAAUUAGGUGCCUAGUUAUGAAAUUUCCUAAUGUUAAUUUUCCAAAUUAGGUGCCUAGAAUCUGUCUUGGUUUCAAUUGAAGAGGACAUGACUUAUUCUACUUGAAAGGAUAUCAAUUCUCUCCCUUCUUUUUUUUUUUUAGAUAUUUCCAACUGCUCAUAUUAUGAUUUAGCCUUAGUUGAGAAGGAAAUAAUUGGAAGAAAUGGUACAAUCUUUUUGAUGCAGAAUCGAAUUUUACAUGCACACAUCUUGAUCUAGUCCUCACUGUGGUUAUUUUUUGUAUUGCUUACAGUUUCUAAGAUAACAAUAGUGUUGGGGAUGCAUUAACCUAUCAUGUUUAUCAGAUUUCCCAUAAGACACUUAAAAAAGAAGUAGGAUAUACUCUUUGUGCAGAGAAUGCAACUGACACAAACUUAUUUUUGUCAUUUAUAUGGACAUGUCAACUCUUGCUUCUCUUGCCCAAAGUUGAUGCACGAUGGGUUUCCGCUAAUAUAAUAGCUCUUGUCAUUUAGUGAAUGACCAGACCUCAACAAUAUGUAGCAAAGAAACAAAAUUGCUUCUCAUUUCUCAUAUUUGAUGAUUAGUUGUCUAGAUUGCUGCUUUUAUGUGCUACAUAUAGGACCACUACAUUUGCUUUUAAUAAUUGCAAGGACUGGAUCAACUCAUGCACUUUCCAGGAAUAAAACCAAUGGAACAGUUUUAACCAACAGCAAGUUCAGGACCACAAGUUGCAAUUUCAGAAGUACCAAACAGCAACACAGAUACACCAGAAACCCAGGAAUAAAACCAGAAACACCACCAGCAAUCACAUGCAAAAACAGAAUGUAUUCAGGAAUGCGAUAGAACAGUAGAUUUUCUGGUUUUCAAACACUCAAAGAAAAGAAGCUUGAAGCUUUAAUGACAUAGUAGCAAACUGGCACUGAUUUUUAAUAGUGGAAGAAAGACUUCACUUUUCUGUUUUGUUUUA